UUUUUCAACCAACUUUGAGAUUGAGACCCAAUUGGAUUGUUCUCUUUACAGAUUUGCUUUCAUUGAUGUGGAUGAGAGCGAUGUAGACAAGGCAUUAAGACUAGGUCAUGUGGGAGGUUACUGUCUUACGCUGCGUGCAGAUCAACAUGAAACCUACAGGUUCCCCAACUUUAGAGGGUGUGAACAUUGUGGUACUUUUCUUUCGGAGCGNNN
rnacentral:lncRNA from 1 species